CCAGAUAGAAUCGUAAGGUUCCACUUUCUAAACAUAUCUACAAUCUUUAGUUGUAUCUUACAUGUUUCAUUUGAGAGCUCCUCUUCUGACUAAUAUUAUGGAUUGCAACAAUGAAGGAAAAUGAACAUCCACUGAUAUGUGCAUUAGCUUCAUAACAUCUCCUUCUCCUGGCCAAGCUGACGCUUCAGUCGGCUGUUACUGCUGCUAGACACAACAUGUUGUGGGUGUUCAUCAGAUGGAGAUGCAGAAUAGCAGAGGAAUAUUACGGCUCAGACCCUCGGGCUGACAGUUCAAGGACCACAUAAAAACGAAGCAAAUCAAAAUACUGAUAGAGAGACUAAUAAUUUGCAGAAGAAUCAAACUCCAUACCUCUUUUAUAAUUUAUAAUUUGAAUUGUACAACCUAAAAUUUGUAUAAGCCUAUGACACCAGGAACUCUUCAGUAUGACUACAAAUGAAAUGAGCAAAAGCAGCACAUGGAUGUUCAGGAAACUUAAGUCUUUGUCUUAAGAGGCCAUACAUAUUUUUCAUAUUUUCAGUGAUCUAUCCUCGACCAUGCAAUGAUGGAAUUAUAGAAUAAUCUAUUUUACGCAGCAAUGGUAUAUUAUCUUUACCUUAAAUCUACAUGGAACAUUUACAUAGACUGAAGUAUUGAGGAAUUAUUUUGGAAUUCCGGCAAAGAAAGGAAGCGAGCCAUGAUGAUUGCCAGUAAAAUAUGUAUAUGGCUUGCCUCAGAAACAUAAAUUCGCAUAUUCCUCCACACUGUUACAUGUAUGGGAAGUAAACAUCAGUAAGAAAAAGUAUUAGAGAAAAGUUAAAGAGUUAGACUGCACCAAGUAACACUACACUUCAAAAUUGGUUAGGUUACUUUGUUUACCAGCUAGCACACAAUGUUUAUAAUCUGUCCACCGGAAACAUGAAAAAAAAUACAAAUCAUUGCAAAAUUUCAGCAACUUCUUUUUGUAGCCAGGGUUUCAGUGACUUCAGCACUCCCUAUUGUGUGUAUACAUCAAGAUCUCUAACAAAAAUAGAUCGAAAGAGAUAGAGGCUACUUACAGAUCAUGCCACAGGAGCACACAUCCUAGUUAAAUACCAAUGGGAAUACAAUGUUUCUUGUUAACCUGGGACAUGGAACAAUGGAUGGAUGCACAAUGUAUCAGAAUCAGUCAAAUAUAGUAGCUUAACAUUUUAGCAAACCAAAAGAGCAUAAUACAGGAAAACACCGUAAUAAUCAGUUCCUGUCUAAUCUCGGUGGGGCAUAAUGUCACUAUUAGUAUGUAGUGAUAUAUUGAUCCUAAAUAAGUCGACAUGGAGCAGUAUUGUCAUAAUCUAGCUCUAGAUAGCCCCAUAGGACAUGAUCCAUUAAAAUAUGUAGUAAACAUUUGAUACUUCCAUUCAACUAUCUGCAAGUGAUGCCUCUACAAACAACCCAAUAUCACCAUAAGCAUUCAUACAAUAAAUAAAGGAAAUCCCAACAUAAACACCAUUAGACGAAAAUGUGGAGAACAUGCAUGUUUUAAUUUGGCUGCUUCCGUAGCAUUUGCCUGCCUGCAUACAACAUAGCAAAGAGUAAAAUUCUGCAUAGAUAUGGCUAUCUGAAUAUUCACCAAACCUGAGAAAUUGGAGAUGUCAGAUCAUAAAUAUAGCUAUCUGAAUGUACAUCAAACCUAACAGAGAAAUUGGAGGCGGCAGAUCAAGAGGAGGACAGGACUGGCUAAGGGAUCAUCCAUCGACCACUUUCAAAGAAGAUCAACAGUAGUGCAACCUGUAGCUUAUAGCUUUUUCCAACAAAUAAAAUCAAGUGUGUAGUUCAAUGUUGUGCCAAUUAAUUGUGAACAGAAACAUAUUGACCGCUUCCAACAAUUCAAUCCAAACGCCUUGAAUCUAAUCUGGUGCAUAAACAAAUUCAAUAUGUAGAAAGCAAGAUGCAAGAGUCCAUGGAUUGGGGAUUAAUAAACACAUCACUAUGCUCGAGGAGUGAGAGGAGCUGCUAGCGAAUGAAGGCCCGAACGUGUACCAGGGUUCAGAUUCGUCGAGCAACCGGCCAUGAUGGUGCGGUGGCAACUGUGAGGGCUCAAAAUUCACCCUGUCCUAUACAUGUACCAACAGAAGAUGCACACAUUGACAGCAACGGUUUCAGAUUCACCGAGCAUGCGGCCAUGACGGUGCAGUGGCGACGGAGAGGCCUUGAAAUUCGCCCUGUCCAGUACAUGUAAUACCAGCAGGAUGCACACAUCGACGGCGAGGCUUAAAUUCAUGUUGAUUUUUCAGGGCCGUAAAUUAACAAAUCUCGAGCAGGACGCGGACAGCUUGCUGUGCUGGGGAUGAAAGGAAUGGAUAAAAUGAGGAGGGGAAGAACUCGGUCAGGGGCAUUGGCACCAAAUACCUGAGAUGCCGGCCGAUGGGAACGGAGCUGCUCCACUUCUCAACGGACAGAGCUAUCUGACGGUUCUUCUAUGGCGAAGAUGGGCGCAUUCGCAUGCGGUCCAAAGAGAAAUACCAGAUCGUAAGCAACUGAAUCGACAGAGUAAUUGCGUAGUGGGAUUUGAUGGAGAUUGGAGAAGAUGAAGAGGGAGGGGAAAUCCACUGCCGUGGGGAAG
rnacentral:rRNA from 1 species